rnacentral:rRNA from 1 species
AUGGAAGUGUUUUCUCAUGGACCUCUACAAAUUCUUGUUGUAUAUCCACAAAUACAUUUUUGCAUUUUUGUAGUUGUUGCAUGGGUGUGUCUUCUCUAG